rnacentral:misc_RNA from 1 species
GCCACUGAGUUGUGAACCAUUACCUGAAAUGUACACACUAAUAGUAAAAAAUUUUGAAGAUUGAUGAUUUUAAGACCAAUAGAAUAAAAAUGUGGUGGCCAAAAUAGCAAGUGAUAAAUAAUAAGAAAAAAUUAGUAAGUAGGCCUAGCAAAAAAGGAAGGAAGGAGGAAAACUGCCUGGUUAGGCCCAGUAUUCAACAUAUAAUGAACUAAACUAAAGCUACAG